UACGUAGGGGGCAAGCGUUAUCCGGAUUUACUGGGUGUAAAGGGAGCGUAGACGGUUUGGCAAGUCAGAUGUGAAAGCCCAGGGCUCAACCCUGGGACUGCAUUUGAAACUGUUAAACUAGAGUGCAGGAGAGGUAAGUGGAAUUCCUAGUGUAGCGGUGAAAUGCGUAGAUAUUAGGAGGAACACCAGUGGCGAAGGCGACUUACUGGACUGUAACUGACGUUGAGGCUCGAAAGCGUGGGGAGCAAACAGG
rnacentral:rRNA from 1 species